rnacentral:rRNA from 1 species
AUUGAACGCUGGCGGAAUGCUUUACACAUGCAAGUCGAACGGCAGCACGGACUUCGGUCUGGUGGCGAGUGGCGAACGGGUGAGUAACAUAUCGGAACGUAUCCAAUAAUGGGGGAUAACGAGUCGAAAGAUUCGCUAAUACCGCAUACGCCCUACGGGGGAAAGCUAGGGACCUUCGGGCCUGGCGUAAUGGAGCGGCCGAUAUCUGAUUAGCUAGUUGGUGGGGUAAGGAGCUCACCAAGGCGACGAUCAGUAGCUGGUCUGAGAGGACGACCAGCCACACUGGAACUGAGACACGGUCCAGACUCCUACGGGAGGCUG